rnacentral:rRNA from 1 species
AUGGGCGCUGGCUUGUACGGCUACAUCGACAAAACCAUAGAGGAGCCUCCCAAGAACAUCGUCGCAAAGGAUAAAGAGGGCAAGGAUCAGGUGCUGCCAAACCCUGCCUACCCCCCAUGGCUGGUUCAGGACCAGCAAAUUGUUGCCUACCUCCUUCGGAACCUCUCCAAGGAGGUCCUCGUUCAAGUGGCGUCGUUGGAGACGUCGCAUGCGAUCUGGACUGCCCUGUCCAACAUGUUCGCGGCGGUCUCGCUCUCCCGAGUCAACAACCUGCGUGCUGCCCUCACCAACGCCCAGAAGGGCACACAAUCUGCAUCAACCUACUUCGGCUACAUGCGAUCUCUCUCCGACGAGCUCGCGGCGGCAGGAAAAUCGAUCAGGGAGUCGGAGCUCAUCUCCUUCAUUGUAUCCGGCCUUGACAUGGAAUAUCAGCCGCUCAUCUCAGCGCUGGAUGUCCGCGCCGAGCCCAUCACGGUCGACCAUCUCUUCUCCCUCGUGGCCAACUUCGAUCAGAGGGUCGAGUUGUACCACGACAAUGGCAACGGUGGCUUCAAAUCCUCGGCAAAUGCCGCUUCCCGCGGUCGCCAGGGAGGCAGAGGGGGCUACCGCAAUUAG